AUACAUGCAAGUAGACGCUGAAGCUUGGUGCUUGCACCGAGCGGAUGAGUUGCGAACGGGUGAGUAACGCGUAGGUAACCUGCCUCUUAGCGGGGGAUAACUAUUGGAAACGAUAGCUAAUACCGCAUAAAAGUCGACAUCGCAUGAUAUUGAUUUGAAAGGUGCAAUUGCAUCACUAAGAGAUGGACCUGCGUUGUAUUAGCUAGUUGGUGAGGUAACGGCUCACCAAGGCGACGAUACAUAGCCGACCUGAGAGGGUGAUCGGCCACACUGGGACUGAGACACGGCCCAGACUCCUACGGGAGGCAGCAGUAGGGAAUCUUCGGCAAUGGGGGCAACCCUGACCGAGCAACGCCGCGUGAGUGAAGAAGGUUUUCGGAUCGUAAAGCUCUGUUGUAAGAGAAGAACGAGUGUGAGAGUGGAAAGUUCACACUGUGACGGUAACUUACCAGAAAGGGACGGCUAACUACGUGCCAGCAGCCGCGGUAAUACGUAGGUCCCGAGCGUUAUCCGGAUUUAUUGGGCGUAAAGCGAGCGCAGGCGGUUAGAUAAGUCUGAAGUUAAAGGCUGUGGCUUAACCAUAGUACGCUUUGGAAACUGUUUAACUUGAGUGCAGAAGGGGAGAGUGGAAUUCCAUGUGUAGCGGUGAAAUGCGUAGAUAUAUGGAGGAACACCGGUGGCGAAAGCGGCUCUCUGGUCUGUAACUGACGC
rnacentral:rRNA from 1 species